rnacentral:lncRNA from 1 species
AGACAUGAUGCCUGGGCCCCAACGGCCCGCCCAGGAUACUCCGAACCGGCAACAGAAAGUAAAACUCCUUAUCCCCAAUCUGCAACAGAUCCUGCGAGUCUAGCUUCACGUUAGGGUUCCCGGGGAGGUGCAGGACGCCUUCGACGAAGCACCCGUUCUUCCCCAGGACCUCGAGGGAGAACCGGCGCCGCGUGAAGUCGUAGAAGAUCCGCGCGUGGUUGCGGGAGAUGUUCAUCCCGCCGCCGAGGGAGGACAGGUCGACGUCGACGGUGGAUUUCUUGGAGUUGCGGCCGAGCAUGAUGGAGUAUGAUUGCAUGUAGUACUCGAAAUCCUCGCCUUGGAGCUUCGCGAAUCCGACCUCUACGUCGCUGCCUCCUCCUACGGCGGAAGCCAUGGCGCGUGUGAAAAGUCUCCGGUGAAUUUGAUUUGAAUUAGGGUUUGCGAAUCGUGGUAGUUUCUGGAACUGGAAAUGAUCUGUUUGGAUAAUUGGUUUAGCUUAUCCAGUGUCAUCGAAGCUUCUUUAGGUGAAAUGACUAUUACACCCUUGUGGUUUAGCGAGCCCUCAGUAAAAAGGCUUUGUGAGACAUUGUUAUGGGCCUUAUGGCUCCGUUAAGUUCAAGUUAUAAGUAUUUUGAUAGAAAAAAAAAAUAUUUUGCAAAUUUCAGUUGUAAAUUUUGUUUUUGAACAAAAAAAAUGUUGUGAACUUUUAAAAAUGACUAUAGUCAAAGCUUCAAUUGGUGACUUAAUUGAACAGAAAAAUGAAUAAAAUAAUAAAUAAAAUUCAGUUGAGAAAAUGAAAAAAUAGAAAUAUAGGAAUUUAGGUUCAAUUUAUUCCCCAUCAAAAUUGGAAGAAGAAUUAUAUUUUUUCAUCGUUGAGAAAAUGAGAAGAAUAGAAUGGGACCUAUGUGACUGUAAUUUGACAAAAAAAAAAAAUAACAUAAUCAGUAUCAAAACUAAGAAAUAAAAAUUUCACCAUUAUUUUGUUCAUAAAAUGUUGUCACCAAUUGAAGUUAAAAUAAGUUGUAAGUUUAAGUUGUAAACCUAUAAAAAGGGGUAAUCUUAAAAAUUUACAAAUAGUUUGAACAUUAAGUUGUAAAUUACGUGUCUUGUUUACAUGUAAGUUGUGAAACCAAUUACUUGUUAUUAAAAUUGACUAAUCAUAAUAAGCAAAAGGUCCAUCCAUGUUCAUCACAUGGAACAAGAUCCUCCAAGACCAACCUGUCACACCAGACUUUUCCUCUGUUUGCUUCUUCUCACAAAGUGCACACUUGAACCCCCAAAAAAAAACAUUUUCUCCAAUUUUUUUAUACAAAUUAACAAAAAGAAAAUUAGAAGAAAAAUAAAAAAAGUGGUAAGAGAACAAGUCCAGCUUAAAGAAGCUCAUCUCUUUACUCAUUUCACGAUUCCCCCGUCUCGUGUUUCUCUCACACACUUGUGUCUUUGAGUUUCCUCCUCUUCUCUUCUUUUGGUCUUUCAUCAAAAAGACCAAAGUUGAUGUUUUUACAGCCCUAAACAGAGACAGCCACAUACAUGUGUUAUGUCCCCAUAAUCCCAUUAUUACCACCAUUUCACACUUCUCUCCUAAAAUUUCCAGAUCCGACACAAACCCAUCUCAGAGCAGAAUCUGCAGAAUCAAGAGCCAUAGAGAGAGAAUGAGAGUGAUAUUGGACUCUUGGUGCUUCUGCAAAGGAGUAAGCAAAAGCGAGAAGAUGAAAGGUUCGAUUUUCUCCGGCAAAGCUCCGGCGAUGGCUCGAAUCUCCGUCUCCGGACCAAACGGUACUGUUACUUCCGGAACAGGAUUCCUCAUUCAUCGGAAUCUACUCCUCACCACUCACCUUAAUCUCCCUUCCGUCUCCGCCACCGAAACCGCCGAGGUCCGCCUCCAGAACGGCGUCGCCGCCGCUCUCUUCCCUCACAGGUCCCCACACCACUCUCUUUGUCUCCUGUAUUGUCGGUUGCACGAUCCGGUUAAACUUUUUAAACCAAUGCGAUUAAAAAUGGCUCUAAUUCAUAUUUUUGAAAUAAAGGUGGAACCUUUAUACUGUAUAGUUAUGCCUAUAUGGUAUGAUUCUGGAUCUCAUGUCUAAAUUUGGUAACUUUUAGCUUCACCUUGUGGUUAAUUAUUGAAGAAUCCUUGCAAGUUUCUCUGCAUUUGUUCACUGAUUAUAUAAAAAUGGCUCUAAUUCAUAUUUUGAAAUAAAGGUGAAACCUUUAUACUGUAUAGUUAUGUCUAUAUGGUAAUGAUUCUGGAUCUCAUGUCUAAAUUUAGCAACUUUUAGCUUCACCUUGUGGUUAAUUAUUGAAGAAUGUUUCUCUGCAUUUGUUCAUUGAUUAUCUAAAAAUGCAUUUCAUAUUUUUGAAAUGAAGGUGAAACCUUUAUACUGUAGUUAUGUUUAUAUGAUUAUGAAUCUUGAUCUAUUAUCUAAACUAUAGUAAGUUUUAGUGCAUUUGUUCAUUGAUAAUCUAAAAAUGCAAUUCAUAUUUUGAAAUAAAGGUGAAACCUUUAUAGUAUACUGUAAUCAUGUUUAUAUGAUAAUGAUUCUUGAUCUAUUAUCUAAAUAUAGUAACUUUGGCCAAUGGUUUACUUGAUGCUACUUGCAGGUUUUUCAUCACAAGUUCGGUUAUUGAUCUGACCAUAGUUGGAGUAGACCUUGUUGAUGGUGGAGACUCAAACUCUCAGAGUCAAACCCAACAACAGCCACAUUACCUGAAGACAUGUUCUAAACCAAACCUGGAGUUAGGAAGUGUAGUGUACCUUUUAGGCUACGCUGCUCAGAACGAGCUCAAGAUUGGUGAGGGGAAGCUAGUGGUAGCUACAGACAGUCUCAUCAAACUAUCUACUGAUGAAAUGAUAUGGAGUCCUGGAUCAGCUGGGUUUGAUGUUCAAGGGAAUCUCGCAUUCAUGAUCUGUGAUCCGAGGAAGCUAGCUACAUCACCAGCCUCAACUUCUACAUCUUCCUCAUCAUCAUUGAAGAAAGAUAACAACAAGACGCUGAUGAUGCAGUUUGGUAUACCAAUGCCUGUGAUCGGAACAACAACUCCACCAGAGACAUGAUGCCUGGGCCCCAACGGCCCGCCCAGGAUACUCCGAACCGGCAACAGAAAGUAAAACUCCUUAUCCCCAAUCUGCAACAGAUCCUGCGAGUCUAGCUUCACGUUAGGGUUCCCGGGGAGGUGCAGGACGCCUUCGACGAAGCACCCGUUCUUCCCCAGGACCUCGAGGGAGAACCGGCGCCGCGUGAAGUCGUAGAAGAUCCGCGCGUGGUUGCGGGAGAUGUUCAUCCCGCCGCCGAGGGAGGACAGGUCGACGUCGACGGUGGAUUUCUUGGAGUUGCGGCCGAGCAUGAUGGAGUAUGAUUGCAUGUAGUACUCGAAAUCCUCGCCUUGGAGCUUCGCGAAUCCGACCUCUACGUCGCUGCCUCCUCCUACGGCGGAAGCCAUGGCGCGUGUGAA